rnacentral:rRNA from 1 species
AUACGUAGGGGGCGAGCGUUGUCCGGAUUUAUUGGGCGUAAAGGGUGCGUAGGCGGCCUUGUAAGUCAGAUGUGAAAGAUCAUGGCUUAGCUGUGGUAAGCAUUUGAAACUGCAGGGCUUGAGUACAGGAGAGGAGAGUGGAAUUCCUAGUGUAGCGGUGAAAUGCGUAGAGAUUGGGAGGAACACCAGUGGCGAAGGCGACUUACUGGACUGUAACUGACGCUGAGGCGCGAAAGUGUGGGGAGCAAACAGGAUUAGAUACCCUGGUAGUCCACACUGUAAACGAUGAAUGCUAGGUGUAGGGGGUAUCGACCCCUUCUGUGCCGCAGUUAACACAAUAAGCAUUCCGCCUGGGGUGUACGGCCGCAAGGUUGAAACUCAAAGGAAUUGACGGGG